GCAACAUCUCUUCUAUGUGACUUAUCAACUGUAAAACAGCCAAAAGACUUUGACAACACCCUGGAAGGUUGCAGUAUCUCUGCUGACAUACCAUGACCUAAGCUCAUUAUUACCAUUUCCUGGUGACACAAUGUACUGCAAAGUGCUCUGAGAAUAAGAAUAAAGCCAUACACAAGCAUAAAAAGUCAUUAUACAUUAGAGACAGCACAUAGCUAAAGAAGAUGAUGGGCUUGAUGCAGAAAAGAAUGGUGUGUUAACUGGAAAACAGGACCAGAAAUGCCUCAGCAGCUCUCCCACAGCCACAUACAAGUGUUUGAGUUCUGACUGAAUGUCACUUGGCACCAUCUCUGCAAAAAAAGGAAAACGUUUUUGAAAUCCAAGCCCCCUGCCUGCUCCAUAUAUUAAAUCCUUGAGAUUGA